UACGUAGGGGGCAAGCGUUGUCCGGAUUUAUUGGGCGUAAAGAGCGUGUAGGCGGUUUGGUAGGUCCGUUGUGAAAACUCGAGGCUCAACCUCGAGACGCCGAUGGAAACCAUCAGACUAGAGUCCGGAAGAGGAGAGUGGAAUUCCUGGUGUAGCGGUGAAAUGCGUAGAUAUCAGGAGGAACACCUGUGGCGAAAGCGGUUCACUGGACCAUAACUGACGCUGAUGCACGAAAGCUAGGGGAGCAAACAGG
rnacentral:rRNA from 1 species